rnacentral:rRNA from 1 species
UACAGAGGUCUCAAGCGUUGUUCGGAAUUACUGGGCGUAAAGGGCUCGUAGGCGGCCAACUAAGUCAGACGUGAAAUCCCUAGGCUCAACCUAGGAACUGCGUCUGAUACUGGAUGGCUUGAAUCCGGGAGAGGGAUGCAGAAUUCCAGGUGUAGCGGUGAAAUGCGUAGAUAUCUGGAGGAAUACCGGUGGCGAAGGCGGCAUCCUGGACCGGCAUUGACGCUGAGGAGCGAAAGCUAGAGGAGCAAACGGG